AUGCACGCUGGCGGCGUGCUUCACACAUGCAAGUCGAACGGAAAGGCCCAAGCUUGCUUGGGUACUCGAGUGGCGAACGGGUGAGUAACACGUGGGUGAUCUGCCCUGCACUUCGGGAUAAGCCUGGGAAACUGGGUCUAAUACCGGAUAGGACCACUUCUUGGAUGUUGUGGUGGAAAGUUUUUUCGGUGUGGGAUGAGCUCGCGGCCUAUCAGCUUGUUGGUGGGGUAAUGGCCUACCAAGGCGUCGACGGGUAGCCGGCCUGAGAGGGUGUACGGCCACAUUGGGACUGAGAUACGGCCCAGACUCCUACGGGAGGCAGCAGUGGGGAAUAUUGCACAAUGGGCGCAAGCCUGAUGCAGCGACGCCGCGUGGGGGAUGACGGCCUUCGGGUUGUAAACUCCUUUCGCUAGGGACGAAGCGUUUUGUGACGGUACCUGGAGAAGAAGCACCGGCUAACUACGUG
rnacentral:rRNA from 1 species